rnacentral:rRNA from 1 species
UACGUAGGGCGCGAGCGUUGUCCGGAAUUAUUGGGCGUAAAGAGCUCGUAGGCGGUUUGUCGCGUCUGUCGUGAAAGUCCGGGGCUUAACCCCGGAUCUGCGGUGGGUACGGGCAGACUAGAGUGCAGUAGGGGAGACUGGAAUUCCUGGUGUAGCGGUGGAAUGCGCAGAUAUCAGGAGGAACACCGAUGGCGAAGGCAGGUCUCUGGACUGUAACUGACGCUGAGGAGCGAAAGCAUGGGGAGCGAACAGG